CACAACUUCUGGGACUUGAAUGAGAGAAAGGAUUUAACAUGUCCUGAGAAUGAGCUUCCCCUCCGAGAUUGCUCUGCAGCUGAGCAGCACUGUGGACACCUGUGAUGGGCUCCCGCUCAGGAGACCCCCACCGCUGCUGGACCUCAGGGCUCCUGGGACUCAUUGGUCUCCUCAAGGGAUGUUUUAUGAUGGGAACCAUACAUAUCUCAUGGAGCCUGAAGAAAAGGAGACCUCCCCAGAGGAUUUCCAUUUCCAUUUAGUCUACAAAUCCAGAGUGUUUGAAUUUCCCUUGGAUGACCUUCCAUCUGGUAUGGUGCAUGUAUAGUGGCUU
rnacentral:lncRNA from 1 species